rnacentral:misc_RNA from 1 species
UUAACAAAUAUUUAAAUUUAGUGGAUCACUGAAUCAUCAUGCGGAAGAUCAUAAACUGCACAAGGAUGAUCAUGCGGGACAUGAUCAUGACAAUCAUACAGACCACGAUCAUGUCCAUGCACAUCAUGAUCACGUUGAUCAAGAUGGAGACGGGGCUCCUAACCAUAAUCGAUUGUACGAUAAGAAGAUAUGGGCAGCUGCUGUAGGAUCCAUAUUUCUUAUAGGGGCCUGCGGUAUUUUUGGUGUAGUGGUCAUACCUAUUAUGAACAGACGCAUCUACCAGCAUGCAGUCCAGUUCCUGAUAGCCCUUGCUGUGGGAACACUCACAGGAGAUGCUCUUCUUCAUCUUCUCCCGCAUGCAAUUAUGGGCGGGGACUCAAAGUAUGGCCACCAUGGACACGGAACUGAUCUACAGAAUGAUCUGCACAAACGAGCUGUUUGGAUAGGUUUUGUUGCGGCUGUGGCAAUCAUUGGAUUCUUCCUAUUUGAGAAAAUUGUAAAUAUUCUAGGGGAACUAAGGAACAACAGUGUUCCAGAUAAAAAUCUACGAGUUGUACGUGAAGGUCAUGUUGCCAGUGAUAAGGCAGUCGGGGAAAAUAUAUGCAAACAUAAAUACAGUGCAUACUGUGUUCAGGACUUCGAUAUUCAGAACGAGAGAACGGACAGCUUGACGAAUGGAACACCUAAAAAUAAUAAAUCUGAUGGUUCCGGGGAUCCCGGAAGUGAGAAAACGUUACUUCCGGUCACGGAAGUGGAAAAAACGCACAAACGAAAUUAUUCCGUAGGAGGUAAUGGCUUCAAGUCUGACCAAGACACAGUCAUUAUCAGUCAUCAUGAAACAGUUCACCACGGACACAGCCACGCCCACUCCCACAUUCACUCCGCCCCCAGCUCCAUCUCCAGCGUGGCCUGGAUGGUUAUAUUCGGCGACGGGAUACAUAAUCUGGCCGACGGACUAGCCAUCGGCGCUGCAUUCGCCGACGGUAUGUGGUCAGGUGUAUCCACAAGUGUUGCUGUGCUUUGUCACGAGCUCCCGCAUGAGAUUGGGGACUUCGCCAUGCUUCUCAAGACGGGGAUGUCGUUCAAGAAAGCUGUAUUCUAUAACGUGGUAUCGUCUGUGCUGGCGUUUGUCGGUAUGUUGAUUGGUUUAGUUCUGGGAAAUCUGGAGAACUUCUCAUCCUGGAUGUUUGCGGCAACUGCAGGUGUAUUCCUGUACGUUGCUUUGGUUGAUAUGAUGCCUGAACUAAGCUCGGGGCACACUCAUCCUUUAUCUAAAGAAAACCAGACAGAAGGACAUUUUAUUCCUAUUCUUCUCCAGUUACUGGGUAUGGGAACAGGAGUUGGAAUUAUGACGAUCAUAGCGCUAUAUGAGGAGGACUUUAAAACUCUGGUAUCGGACUAGAAUGAGACAAUAUCAAGUUUGAUCUGAAAUCAAGAGAAUGAUGAGGAACCUGUGCUGAAUACUAGAACGUAUCGAAGAAAGUAUCAAGCGCUUCCUCUGAAAACUUGUACUUUUUAAAAACUGAUCUGAUCAACUUUUGAUCAUCUUUAAAAACUUGCAUUGAGUCCAUUUUAAACAUUAACUUUUCUCGAAGAGGAUUAUUUGAAACGAUAGCAACUGUCCAUAUCAGCUGUAUAAGAGUGUUACUUAAACUAAUCAUGAAAAUUAAACCUUCUUAAAUUUUCAGUUUUGACGAAAAAAAGUUGUUGUUAAAACUCGAGAUUUUUUAUAAAUUUCUGAAAAAAAAUCAUGAGGAGGAAAAAAAUCUUUGUUUUGUUAUAAAUCUAUUUGUUGCAACAAAAAAAUAACAGUUAAUCUUUUUCUAUUGUUGAACAGUAACACUUAACUGAAUGUAUUUUUUGUAACUUGCACAGUUGUUAUUAUGUGCAUUGUACAUAUGUUAUGUGUUAUUCAUAUAUGCUUUGUACUCAAACAAACGAAAAUCAAGUUCUUAACGGUUCACAAGACUGGUGACAUAAUUUCAAGGAACCCUCCGUUUAUAGAGUGCCAUUCACGAUUCACAAGUCACAAUAAUACCCUUAAAUUCUUUGUCCAACACUAGAGAAAUAUCCUCGUUUUUAUCUUAAAAAGUGUCCAAUUCUGUAAAUUACGUUCUUUGUCUCUGCUUCUUGAAAUCCACAAGUCGCAAAAGAGAAACCACAAUAAAAAAUUAGCAAUUUUUGAAAAGUAAGAUAAGGAUAUUUUUGCAUUAUUUGGCUACGGUUUUAAGGGUUGUGAAUCGAGCUUGUGUCUCUUUUACUGAAAGUUCACUUGAAAAACAUGUCCAGUCUCUUUAAGUCAAAUCUAUUGUUAACCCAGUGCUAUGUCUUAAUGUCAUUAGUUUCCGGUGAAUUUUGUAUUAUUCAUUUUCUGAAUUUUUUUUAAUUAACUAUUUACAAUCUUCUAUGUACACUUUAAGUCAUAUCUUUGAUUGGAUUUGACGAUGCUUACUUUUGUUUUCGUUUUCCUACCAAGGUUAAAACGAAAACUGUAGUUCAAAUACUAAUAUUUUUUAGAAUUAGUUUUGUAGGGAGAGGAAUGUUCUGCAUUAUUUUCUUAUAAAGUAUCGUUGCUUGUAUGUUAACCAAUUGUCAACCCAUAACCGUCCUAUAUCCAACCAGUUUUUUUUCUUCCAUGCGAUCUCUUUUUUGUAUUUGUUUUCGCAAAUUUUACAGAUUUUCGGCUCAGGUCUCUCUAAACCAAACGGGCAGUUUUGUUUUAUAAAAUUUCCCUUUAAAAAAUCUCUUAUUCUAAAUCAACUGUAAAUAGAUUUAGAGAGGCCUACAGUUUCUGUAAGAAUGAUCUUCUAUGAAUCUUGUUCACGAAAUAAUACCGUUCAAUAAAUUUAUACGUAUUA